UUGGGGAAUUUGGGAUUUCUGGGAUUUUGGGGAAUUUAGGAUUGGGAUUUCUGGGAAUUGGGCCCAGCAUUCCCAGGGAAUUUGGGAUUGGGAUUUCUGGGAAUUUGGGAUUUCUGGGAUUUUGGGGAAUUUGGGAUUGGGAUUUCUGGGAUUUGGGGGAAUUUGGGAUUGGGAUUUUGGGGAAUUUGGGGAAUUUGGGAUUGGGAUUUGGGAAUUUGGGAUUUCUGUGAGUCCCCGGUUUCCGUUUCCCGCAGAUCCCUCGGGGUUCGUGUUCGAUUCUCGCUCCGGGGCCGUGCGGGCUCAGGGCGGCGCCGAGAACAUGAGGGAGAAGGUGCAGGCCGUGCGCGCGGUCGUUCCCAACCGCAGCAACACCGAG
rnacentral:lncRNA from 1 species